rnacentral:lncRNA from 1 species
CACUCUAUGGAAUAUGAGAAGUAGCCCUCAUUUCUCUAACUCAAACCCAGCGCCCAUCCUUACAACCCACCCAUUCAUUCAUCUCCCUAAUCUCAGCAUCCUUUCUGCAACAGAGAACCCAACCAUGGUGGAAAUCUAAAAGACUGAAAUGCUCAAGGUAAAACCAUCCUCAAAUCGUUUGGUUUUAUUUUCAGAUUUAUUUGUUUAGAUAAAUGUAACAAGAUCUAACGCAUGCAUGUGGUUUUAUCGGUGUAAGGACCCCUAAUCGUUGCAAAUCCGAGACAAACAACAAGCAAUCUCAGCCGCUACACCUCAGGUACAUAAAAUUGGACUCCCUUUCGUUUAAUCAUCUAUUAUACACAAUCUGCUCUUGUUCACAAUGCAUGUGGUUGAUCCGUUGAUCUUCAUACUACACACCCCACAGGGUUAAAAUACUCUCAAAGUGUAGAGUUGUUUUUGUAGGAAAAAAAAAAUACAUCUUGGUGGUCUGCACAUCUCAGCAUGGAACAAAAGAAAAGAUCUAUUCUUGGAGAUCACAGAUCCGAACAAACAGCAGGUAUAAAACCAUUGUAAUUUCAAGCAUAUAGACUGACUGCAAAACAUAGCUAUCUUCAUCCUCUAUCUGCGCAUAUCUCAGCAUUGUUUCUAAUUUUUGUGCAGGACACUUGAAUCCGAUGUAUAGCCGAGAGAAAGGAAAUGUUGAAGUUGCAGAUCCAAAGGCAAACAAAUUAUCAACUGGCACAUCGUCGGAUUUUGAAAGGUAUACACUCAUAUAUGCUGGGAUUUUUUUCUGGAUAUGUAAACUUUUGUGAAUGAAUAUAGAAUGCAUGUAUCAUCCAUCUCUAAGAACACCCUCAAACUUAAUAGAAUGAAAAAUGUGGGAGUAACCAGAAUAAAAAUUUGAAUCUGGUAACUGUAAGCUGAUGAUGACUCUGAACUGAAAACACUGGCUCCCAAUAAAAUGAAUUAAUCCCUGAAUCAGAACUGAGAGCAUACAUGUGGACUAUGUGAACUGGAACCGUGUAGAUGACACAUGAAGAACCCAUCCCAGACUUAAGUGAUGAUAUAAUUUUCAACUCUUGGAUGCAUGAAUGAUAGGCCUACUGAAAAAAUCAUGUCUCCUGAAUAACUAAUGAAUUUGGUUGUUCUGUUUUUGUUGUGCAGGGAACCCACAUUCUGGAAGCUUGACAAAAGCAAACCAAAUGAAGAUGAGUCCGGUCAUCACAGAUCCCUACGGCAACUGCAACGGACGAAUCAUGGCAAAAGCUUCCACGAACCCCAGAUAUGUGCAUCUGGGAGGUAAAAUUUUGAAUCCCUGCAAGUGUAAUUGUUGUAGAUCUAGUAAUAAAAGCUGUACUCAGUUCUGUAGUGUAUGGAUAUGUGAUUUAACUAUGCUCCUCAUCCAUGCAUCGCAUAACUGAGCGGCAGAACAAAACUCAAAAACAAAAAUAAAAACUAACAAACUAGAAACUAACAAAACUAACUAAGACACAAAAAUUUCACCUUCAAGUUGCAAUCCAUAGAAAACAUUAAAAAUUAGAACAUCUUUUCAAAAGUUCCAACUAAUCCCACCACAGAGUCUAAGUCAUUUACAACCAAUUAGAAAUAAUUUAUGAACUUCCCUUGGUGUAAAGUGAACCAACAUAGUUAAGGAAACUCGACUAAAAUCCCUACCUUUCGUCCUCUUUAUUUAAUACUUCAUAUAUACUAAAUUGAAACAUACUUUUUUCUCUCUUAUAUUCAUUUUUUUUUUUUUUUUUUUUUUUUUUCCAGUAACGGUGGUAAUUGUGCAAUGUCAGUUCACUUAAGCUUUCUAUCCAACCCAUAUAACGAGCUUUAGGUCAAUAACUCCCAAACCACAAAGGCUUUAGGGCACUAAGUGUAGAACAUCCCUAAUGACUUGCUAACUCAAACUAAAAAGGCUAUGAAACCAACUAACCACUCUUCCCCAUGCCAAGACUCUACCGUUUGACGUGAAAAUUACUGCUGAUUAGGCAGGAUUGGCCUAAUUACUAGGCAAAGAUUCGGGUGGAACAAUUAUUACUUUAUAACACAUACUAACUUUAUUUUAUAUAUAACAAAAAUAAUAAAAUACACUUAGAAAAAAGUAAGUGUUUCAAUCUCUCCCCACAAACCGUGUUGGUGUGAAUGUGCAAAUUUUCAAAGUAUAACCCAUGAAUUAGUGUCUAAGCAAUGAUAAAUAGAAAAGACUAUUGUGGGAUUCAUCUUCACCAUGUCCAUUUGUUCUAAAAUUUAAAAUAAUCUAUGGAUUUUAACUUAAAAACGAAAAUUUUUAACUUACAAAAAAAAAAUCUAAAAUUUCUGAUUUCCCACCCCCAAACUUAAAUCACACAUUGUCCUUAAGGUGUGGAAAAUAAAAGAAAAAUAAAAACAUAAAAUGACUAUUCCCUAGAACGACAAAUUAAAAAAAAAAACAUUGAGCAAAGACAAACAAAAUAAACUAGGGAAAGAAAAAGAAAAGAAAGGAAAAUAGGGAUUGGACACACCUGGAAUGGUUCGAACGCAUGAUCUUGGGAAACAGAGGCGCUGGCAAAAUUGAAAAAUAAAGCACAAAAAAUGCAUAGCUCCGGGGGAUCGAACUCAUGAAGGCAGGACACAGAACCCUCAGGGGUUAAACCACACGUGUGAAUAAACUCACAUGCUCAUCCAUUUCUGAUUUCAGCCGAUGAGCUUUUCUCCCCUUUUUCUCUCUAACCUCGAGCCCAGAGCCAUGAGAGCUCUUAAACCCUAGCCUCCAUAUUUCUCCAAAGAUGAGAUAUCUCUCUAACUCCCCCACUCUCUCACUCAUUUACAACUCAACAAAGAGGUUCAUGGAGUUCAUCAUGCUUGCAAAAAGAGUUGCAGGCCCCAUUUUCGUCCGAUCUAAAAGUCGAAAGACGCAAAGGUAAAACUGUCCACCAAACUUGUUUGUUUUAGUUUCGAUUUGUGCAUUGCAGUAAAAUAAACCAAAACUAACACAUGCAUGUGGUCUUUAUCUGUGCAAGGAAACUCGAGUGACAAAGAGAACUCAAGCACUGAUUUGUGGUAGAGUCCGCGAUUUUCAAAUCCAAAAGGAAGGUAAAUAACCAACAGCCCCCAAACUUAUUCUGUUGUGUCUUGAUCUAAAUCUGUGAAAGAUAGUCCUUGGAUAUAUGUGUUUGGGUUAAAACUGGAACUUUGGGCUCAAAAGGAAGUCAGCCCAGAAGAAAGUCUAGAAGGAAGGAAGCCCAAAGCUCAGCCGAGGCCCAGUUUUCCCAACUAAGUGCAGAUCAUUUGAGCCACUUGCUCACCUACCUAGAAGUCAAGUGGUAUAGACUAGCCAGCUAAUCAGCCCAAAAGUACUUUACAAUGGCAGUACAAGUAAAAAACUGAUGAGUCACUACCCUUCAGCCGCAUUCGGGCAAGAUCGAUGCUGCAGGCAGCCAAGCCAAAUCAUCUAUAAAAAGGGAAAGAGAAAUCAGAGAUAAGGACACUCAAUCAAACAAACAAAUACACAAACUCUGUUCAAGCCAGAUUUGCAUACGAAGCUGUAGUCAGCAUCAAGCCUUCAUCCUUUUCAGGAUCAACCCUCACCAAAAGCCUUCGUAAAAGCUCUACUACCUUGUCUGAAUCUUGUUGUAGUAUUGAUUCCCUCCUGUAAACUCAUCUCCCAAUCUCCCUUUCUAGCACUCAAACCCUUCGUAAAUCACAAAGAGAGGAAGUUGCAAGACGAUCAGCCUUGCCCGACCCUCUUUCUUGUUGUAGACAUCGAAAUUUCGGUGAAAUAAGUAUUGACAAUUGUAUUAAAAUUACAACCCCCAUUUAUUUCACCUACAACACAUACUCAUCCCAUCUACAAAAUCCACUUACUUCACCAAACAAAUGGAUGGUGGUGAUUCAUUCUCAAAGCCUAUAAAUAGGCUUCUCCAUCAAGCAAUAAUGGGGAUUUUACAUACACUUUCUCUACUCCUAAAAUUGGAAGAGAAUUCACACCACACCAAAGCCUUGAAACCUCAAAACUCUAAAGCUCUCAAGCAAAUCCCGAAGAAUCAAGAAAGCCAUCUUCGUUUUUCGUCAAAGUCCUCCUUCAAGACCAAGCCCCAACGGCCUUUGAAGAAACUUCCACUAAUUCAAGAUCAAGCCCUGACGACCCUUGAAGAAAGUGUUCAUCAUUCAUCAUCUGUUCAUCAUAAAGAUCAAGCCCCGAUGACCCUUUGGAUCAACAACUUCAACAAAUCUACCCAUUACAAAGAUACAAUCAGAGGCUAAAUUUGUAGAAGAGAUUGUAACCCCUAAAUCAUUAAUACAAAUAUUAUUUUGUACACGUGUUCUUGUCUCGUUCAUCGUAGGAAUUCCUGUGUUUACAAAUUUGGCACGCCCGGUAGGACCUUUCUCUACCUCUCAUCUCUAUCUUUGAAUCCGCAAAAAGCACAAAUGGCAUCAAAGAAGGCUCAAGUUGUUCUCACAACCAAUGCAAGGAACAAGAGUGUCAUCACCGUAGGUGGUAUCACUUCAGGCGUCACAACUCGAAGCAAGGCAAGAGCUCUUUCUGCCAUAUCUUUUACCCCUACAUUAACUCCGUCGAAGGAACAAGAGCAACUGAGGCACGAACUUGUGAUCACCCUGGCCUCGCUAAGGGCGCCAAGGGAGGAAAGCCCAAGGAAGUACUUUGAUUCUAUGCUUUCCGAUGCUGACUUAAGCGGCAGCUCAGCCAUGCAAGUCAUGACCACUGGAGCGACUUCAAUCGAUGAGCAGCUGACUCAUAUGAAUGAAGCGAUCGCAAGGCUAACAUGAAUUAUGGAAGAAAAAGACUCACAAAUCGCUACACUCGUUAACCAAUUAGAGGCGCAGCAAGAUGAUAAACCCGACCUAAAGGGUAAUCCAUUAAAAAAAGAAGUUGGUGAAGAAGAUGAGCCUCUGGUGGAGAAAGCCGAUGUGAAGCCGGAGCCGGACCAAGCAGUAGCACUCAUGUGAUCUCUCUCUAUCCAGCAGUUGUAGGAGAUGAUUGCCAGCACCAUUAAGGCGCAGUACGAAAGAAGUUCACAUGACUGAGUACUAUACUUAAAACCUUACUAAAAAAAGAUUGAUGCUAUGAAGAUGCCGAUAGGUCAUCAACUGCUAAAGUUCAUGCAGUUCGAUGGAAAGGGAAACCCGAAGCAACACGUUGCCCAUUUCAUUAAGACCUGCAAUAACGCGGGGACAGAAGGAGAUUACCUCGCUAAGCAGUUUGUACGCUUAUUGAAAGGAAAUGCCUUUGAGUGGUACACGGACCUAGAGCCUGAGUCAAUCAACAGCUGGGAGCAAUUGGAAAAAGAAUUCCUCAACCGCUUCUACAGCAUCCGUCGCAUUGUGAGCAUGCUAGAGCUGAUGAACACGAAGCAAUGGAGGGAUGAGCCAGUCAUGGACUACAUCAACCGAUAGUGUAAUCUAAGCCUCGACUGUAAGGACAGGCUCUCGGAGAUCUCUUCAAUCGAGAUGUGCGUCCAAGGCAUGCAAUGGGGGUUACACUAUAUCCUUCAAGGCAUCAAACCACGGACCUUUGAAGAGUUAGCCACCCGUGCCCACGACAUGGAGCUAAGCAUUGCUCACCAUGAAAAAAAAGAGCCAAUCACCAACUUCAAGAAGGACAAGGUGUUUGCCCCAAAUGUAGAUAAAACUGGGAAGAAGCCCACCAAGGAAGCUUUCACUGUCAACGCUGUGCCUGUCAAGACCUCUUCCGUGCCUAUCAAGAUCUCAUCCAAAACCAAAGCAAAGGAGAUAAAGAGAGGUAAGUUUCCUUCCACCCAAGACAGGUACAAAAGUACCUUGAUGGAAUUGGAGUAGAAUGCGUACCCUUUUCCUGACUCAAACAUGGAUGCAAUGUUAAAUGACUUGCUGGAAAAGAAGGUGAUUGAGUUACCAGAAUGCAAGUGCCCUGAAGAAAUCAAUCGCAUGAAUGAUCAUAGGUACUGCAAGUACCAUCGUAUUGUGAGCCAUUCUGUUGGCAAGUGCUUCGUCCUCAAAGAACUCAUUAUGAAGCUAGCUCAACAAGGGAAAAUCGAGCUCGACCUCGAAGACAUGGUGGCAACACAUACUACUACAAUUGCAUUUGGAUCAUUCAAUCUCGUGCCUCUCUAAGUGACACCUGACCAUUCUUAUCAAUGCUCAAGUCGCACGAUACCUUCUACGCAACCAUCGCUGGGGGCAAACGAACAAGAUGCACAUAUCGAUGAUGAAGAAGGAUGGACAUUGGUGACCUACAAAAAAACAAGGAAACCAAAACCACAAGCCACGAGACCAAAUGUGGAACAAGGUAUGCUGGGGAAUCUAUGGAGAAAGAGCCACGCAUGCCUAUUUCCUUGCACGAAUACUUCCCGGAAGACUUCUUCUAAUAGUGCACUAUCGCUACUUGUCACAUGGUCGAAGUAGAAAUGGAAGAGCCUUCAAAAGGAAAAUCCAUAGCAAUUGAGGGAAAAAUUGUCCUCACACCCAAAGAAGGCCUGCCGAUACAUUUUAGCAUCGAAUAAGUGCUACGAUUACCAAAGAAGAUGCAAAGAGCACUGGCAGCAGUCUUGGCAAGUCCUGACGAUCACGAAGUGCAAGAAAGCAAGAACGAAGGCUUGAAGCUUUGGCCACAUGAAUGUGCCACAUGCUAUGUCGUCGAUGACGUAAUCCACUUCACCAACGAAGACUUGCUGCUAGAAUCCAUGCCACACAACCGUCAUCUCUUCGUCUCUGGGUACAUAAGGGAGCACAACGUCAACCGCAUGCUUGUGGAUGGUGAACCAGCCAUAAACAUUAUGCCAAAGUCAACAAUGACUACAAUCGGCAUUAAGGCGGAUGAACUAUCCCUAAGUCGUCUACUAAUCCAAGGUUUUAAUCAAGGAGGACAAAGAGCGAUGGGCAUGAUCCUAGUGGAGAUGACUAUUGGUGAACUCAAGUCAAGUACAAUAUUCCACGUGAUUGAUGCAAGAACUUCCUACGGCUUGCUCUUAGGAAGACCUUGGUUCCAUGCGAAUGGAGUAGUAUCGUCCACCCUUCACCAAUGCUUAAAAUUCUACCGAGAAUGAGUGAAGGCGAUCUAUGGCGACAUGAAACCAUUCAUCGAAGCUGAAUCACAUUUCACAGACGCCAAGUUCUAAAUGGAUGAAGACAUCGUGCCCGAAACUCUUCUAAAAGAGAUUAAAUCCACGGGCAAAGCAACACCUAAAAAGAAAGAGUGGCAAGCUAUGCCCAAGAAGCAAGAAGAAGAAGCUUUGCCGUCUUCAAGCAAGAACGAUGAUAAGCUUGAUAAACUUGCAACAACCAAAGGAAGCAGGACGCCCUCAAAUGGACCAAACAAACCCGUCUUCCGAUACAUCCCGAUGUCGAGAAGAAAGAAUGGUCAAUCUCUGUUCGAAACUGGAGCAAGCAAAACUGAUGCACAGCGGGACAUGGAUAAUGUAAAGUUGCUCAAGACGAAUGCAGUUUUACCUCUGACAUAGCUAAGCGACGCUAAGGUUGCAAGGCUACCACAAGGCUUCAUAAAAGCUCUACCAAAGGGGGUGGAACCAAGCUUUCUCCUAACCAAGAGGACCGAAGAAGGUUUUGAUCCAAAUGCCUACAAACUCAUGUCGAAAGCUGGGUAUGACUUCGCUUCUUCUUCGAAUCCUGGAAAGAAGGUUUCAAACACCAUCAACAAUAAAGAAUGUGACCUCACCGAGACUCAAAAGAAGUUGAAGAAGCAUGGUUACAGAGUUAACAACAACAAUGCUGGACUUGGCUUUGCACCAAAUGUACUCGUGAAGAUUUCAAGCAAAGCGAAAAAUGCUAGCACUCAACACAUCAGCGUGAGCAUUUAACAAGAUUAAGAGGAGCCUAAAUUUACCCCUCGAACGUCAGUCUUCGAUAGGAUGAAUCGUUUAAGACCCGGAACAUCAGCACUUGAUCACAUCCGUGGUUAAAACCGAACCUCCGUCUUCAAGAAGCUUAAUAGGCCAACAUCCCAAAGCUCUGUUUUUAAAAGGUUAUCAAAACCUAAGAAGCAAAGCAACACGGCUAGCUCUCCUUCUUGUCAGUCAGCUUUGGAAAGACUUGAAAACGACAGGAAGUUUUCUGAAAAUAAGGAGACAACGUCAAAGGAAGAAAAGCUCGACAGGCUAGCAGAAAAAGGUGUAAGAAGGCGCACCAUCAUCCACACUGGACAAUCUUCAUGCCAACAAGCCCAAGAUGACGACACUGAAAAGGAAGUCCAAGAUGUCUUCCAUAUCACGAUCCAAGAAGGCAAAGAAGACGAGAUCCCCAAAGAAGAUGUCAUUGCUGCACCACCACAACUUGAGGAUGGGGGGCAAGCCACGGUUGACGAUCUCAAGGAGCUCAACUUAGGCAUAAAAGAGGAGCAGAAACCUAUCUUCGUAAGUGCGUUGCUAAGUACGGACGAGAUAGAGGAGUACUACCAACUGCUAUCAGAGUACGAAGACGUCUUUGCUUGGACCUACAAGGAAAUGCCUGGCCUUGACCCUGUCAUCUCUGUGCAUCAUCUUGCAGUCAAGCCUGGAACGUGACCGAUAAAGCAAACUCAAAGGCGCUAUCGAUCCGAGCUCAUUCCACAAAUCGAGGCAGAGAUUGACAAGCUAAUUGAAGCAGGCUUCAUUCGAGAGGUGCAAUACCCCAAGUGGAUCUCCAACAUUGUCAUCAUCCUUAAGAAAUCUGGACAAAUAGGUGUUUGCGUAGACUUCCGGGACCUUAAAGACGCUUGCCCGUAGGACGACUUCCUUUUGCCAAUCAUCGAAAUCAUGGUGGAAGCAACCAUUGGCCACGAGGCACUGUCAUUCAUGGACGGCUCUUCUGGAUACAAUCAAAUUUAUAUGGCUCUCGAAGACGAGGAACUAACAGCAUUCCGCACUCCAAAAGGUAUCUACUGUUACAAGGUGAUGCCAUUUGGUCUAAAGAACGCUGGAGCUACAUAUCAACGCGCAAUGCAGAAGAUCUUUAAUGACAUGCUGCACAAAAAUGUAGAAUGUUAUGUGACGAUGUGAUGGUCAAAACAAAGAAAAGAUCAGAUCACUUGAAGGAUUUACGAGUAAUGUUUGAAAGACUGCGAAAAUACAACCUUAAGAUGAACCCGUUAAAAUGUGCAUUUGGCGUCACCUCUGAAAAGUUCCUUGGCUUCAUUGUCAAACACUGUGGUAUUGAAGUGGACCAAUAAAAAAUCAAGGCCAUUCAAAGCAUGCCUGAGCCAAGAAACCUGCACGAGAUGAAACGUCUACAAGGAUGGCUAGCCUUCAUCAGACGUUUCAUUUCCAACCUUGUAGGGCGUUGUCAACCGUUCAGCUGACUCAUGAAGAAGGAUGUUCCAUUUGUAUGGGACGAAGCAUGCCACAAUGCUUUUGAAAGCAUAAAAAAGUAUUUGUCAAGUCCACCUGUCUUGGGGGCACCUGUGCCCGGGAAACCACUCAUAUUAUAUAUUGCCGCUCAAGAAAGUUCAGUUGGAGCACUCUUGGUGCAAGAGAAUGAAUCCCAGAAAGAAGAAGCAAUUUACUACCUCAGUCAAACUCUCACCGGCGCUGAGUUGAACUACUCUCCAAUAGAAAAGAUGUGCCUUGCCUUGGUGUUUUCCAUCUAGAAACUCAGACAUUACAUGCAUGCUUACACCAUCCACUUAGUUAUUAAAGCUGACCCUGUCAAAUACGUCAUGUCCAAACCAGUUUUGACAGGGCGACUAGCUAAAUGGGCGUUGCUUCUUAACCAGUAUGAGAUCAUCUACGUCCCAGCUAAAGUCGUCAAAGGACAAGCGCUAGCAGACUUUCUUGCUGAUCACCUAAUCUCAGCUGAUUGGAAAAUCUCAGACGGUUUGCCUGACGAGGAGGUGUUUUACAUCAACAUCUUCCCGACAUGGACGAUGUUCUUCGACGGAUCUGCACGAGCAGACGGAGCAAGGGCAGACGUAGUAUUUAUGUUGCCACAAAGGCAAAUACUACCUUAUUCCUUCCAACUAAGCAAAUUAUGCUCCAACAAUGUCGCUGAGUACCAAGCACUGAUCAUCGGGCUCCAAAUGACGAUCAACAUGGAAAUCACAACCCUUGAGGUAUAUGGCGACUCCAAGCUCAUAAUCAAUCAACUCUUAACUGAAUAUGAGGUGAGGAAAGAUGAUCUCGUCCCAUACUUCCGACUGGCAACUCAGCUACUACAAAAGUUCUAGGCCGUGACACUAGAACAUGUGCCAAGAAAAGAAAAUCAAAUGGCAGACGCUUUCACCAACCUAGCCUCAAAUAUGUCACUAGGAGAAGACGAAGCUGUAGACGUGCCAGUUUGCCAAAAAUGGGUGAUCCCGCUAGUUUCUGAAAUGAUACUGGAUGAUACAAACGUCAUCUCAGUACUUCCAGUCAACGCAGAAGAGUGGAGACAACCAUUGAUCGACUACUUGGAGCACGGAAAGCUCCCAGAUGAUCCUAGACAUCGCUCUGAAAUACGUCGACGAGCACCCCGCUUCCUUUACUACAAAGAAAUACGCUACCGACGCUCUUUUAAAGGAAUACUUCUGAGAUGUCUAGGUAAGGAAGAAGCCAAUCAAGCCAUGGAAGAAGCACACUCAAGUGUAUGUGGGGCACAUCAGUCUGGAGCAAAGCUACAUUUCCAGCUCAAAAUGAUGGGUUACUACUGGCCAAGCAUGGUGAAAGAUUGCCUGGAUCAUGCCAAAAGGUGCCAAGCUUGCCAAUUCCACGCCAACUUCAUACAUCAACCACCUAAACCACUACACCCUACAAUUGCUUCGUGGCCAUUCGAUGCAUGGGGAUUGGAUGUUGUAGGACCGAUCACACCAAAGUCAUCUGCAGGAGAAGCCUACAUCUUAGCUGCAAUAGAUUACUUUUCCAAGUGGGCUGAAGCCGUACCCCAACUGUUGUACGUUUCAUCAAGGAGCAUAUCAUCUACCGAUAUGGUGUGCCUCGCAACAUUAUGGAAAAUAGUUCUCCAACCGACUCGUGGACAAGCUCUGUGAGAAAUACAAGUUCAAGUAGCACAAGUCUUCCAUGUAUCAUGCUUCGGCCAACGGUCUUGCAUAAGCAUUCAACAAAACAUUGUGCAACCUCAUGAAGAAGGUGGUCGGCUGAAGAAAGAGAGACUAGCAUGAAAAAUAAGCAAAGCACUUUGGGCAUAUAGGACAACACAUAGGACUCCUACCUAAGCUACGCCCUAUUCUCUUGUAUAUGGCGUAGAAGCUGUUCUACCACUCAAAAGUCAAAUCCCCUCACUAAGAAUGGCUAUACAAGAAGGCUUGACUGAUGAAGAGAAUGCAAAGUUACGCCUUCAAGAGUUGGAAGCACUCGACGAAAGAAGGCUUGAAGCUCAACAACACUUGGAAUGCUACAAAGCACGGCUAUCUAAGGCAUUCAACAAGAAGGUCCGCCUAAAGUUUUUUCCAAAUUGGAGAUCUCGUCCUCGCAUUGCGUAAGCCCAUCAUCACAACAAACAAGACAAAAAGCAAGUUCACAUCAAAGUGGGAUGGACCAUAUGUAAUACAAGAGGUCUACACCAACGGCGCCUACUUAAUCAUGGCAGAAGACGGCUUAAAGAUCGGCCCCAUCAAUGGCAGAUUCUUGAAGUGCUACUACCCCUAAAAGGCGACAACCAACCUUCCUGGCCCGUAAGAGCAUAAACUGUGUACGGCAAAAUCAUCAUCAAAAUCACUGUUAAAAAUUCAUCGCUCAUUUGAACUACGUUAUGACUUGAUCCCUCAUCAACAGAGGGUACGUAGACAGCUUGAAACGUCAAAACUUCAAGAACAGUCACAUUAAAAAAAAAGGGCUUUAUUAAAGUAUCAUUGAUGAGAUCAAUUUUAUUACAAAUUUAUUUGCAAUUUUCUUUGUACAAAAUUAAAUUACAGUCUCUUUGAAAAAAAAAGAAAAGAGAAACAAAUAUAUAUAUGGACCCCAAAGCAACACCAGGCCUAAUCUGUGGCAAGCCCAUAAAAAAAGCCGUCCUGGUCCAAAAAAUACCUAAGGCAACCCACUCAGCAGCCUUGUUUGAUAUCAACAUCGUCAAAAACAACAAUUGGGUCUUCUCCCUCCAAAUCCAGGCCAUAGCCCACGCUAGGCCAUGUCCCUAAAAAAACACAGGCUUCAAUCAUUCUGCUAGGUCUAGUUGGAUCUCCCAUCACGCCACAAUCUAACAGAUCUUGCACCGCAGCCAUCUUCUUCGUAUGCUCAUCCUCUCACCUUCUCCGAGAUCUUUCUUUAACGUCGUAAGAAAAACAGCCGCAGCAGCUCAACGCCCUGUAGCAACCUUCUUCCUUAUCUGCAAGCGCCUUCGAUGUCCAUUGCUACGAACAGUGGUGACUCGUCCCCUUCGAAGUUACUCUUCUUCUUCGCUGAUUCGUUUCAGCCUAAGCCUUGCAGAACACAACCAUGGCAGCAAGCAUAGCAAGUAGUAGUGGUCAGUGCACAGUCAACGGCAGCACAACCUCUAUCUUCUUCCUCUUCAUGCCUGUCGAAUAAUUAUUUGCAAGCACAUGCAACACUCUAUUCUCGCGCUUGAGUUGUCUGAUCUCUUGACUAAGAGCUGCCACCUCGGCUGUCAAUGAUUCAACUUGGCGAGCCCGAGCAAGUAAGCGUUGGCCCAUGUUGGAAACAGAGUUCGCACACUAGACACUAAGAGCCUGAGAAUCUUGAACAGCUACCUCAUCGGACCGUCAUGAAAGUAUCCUAUUAUCUCUAGAAGUGAUGAGGUUUCUAGCUACAACCGUAGCCGUUGUUGCAUCCCUCAUCACAGAGUCUUCAACUGUAAGAGGGCCAUUAGAAGAAAAAAAGGACAGGCGCCAUAUAUAACCCUGACGCGGCGCACUUGUAUCACUCCCGAGACUCAAAUCUAAGUAAAUGUUAGACAGGUUAGCCAUUUUCAAAAAAUGUUAAAAGAAAAAGGUUGGAUAGAGUAAAAGCUUAGAAAUACACCAGAAAGGAUUUUCAAGGGCGGGCAAUCUUCAAAAUGUGCAUGUUGAAAACGAUUGACACCUCUUUAAAAGGAAAGGCAACACAACCACUUGUUCAAAAAAUCGAAGAAACACCACUCUUCGAAUUUCAAAACCCAGAUUUUCCUGCGUAAAGUCUGUCAACACUUUUCAGACGCAAUCUCAGAUUUCGGCUAUCAUGUGCAACUUUGUCAGAGAUCACUGACAAAGUUAAAAACGCGUGAAGUCCAUUAUUCCCACUACCACACUUUUGGCUGACAAGCGUGGGUGACAAGGCCACAUCCACACUGCCACUUGCUAUUAGGAAAUCACCAUAUAAUUCGACCUCCAUCCUCUAUAGCAAGGCACACAUCCAAAACGCCUGACUCUUCUUCCUUGUCGAAUGCUUCUGCAACUAAAACCUCUCAACAUACCCAGUUUUCUUCCUCCCUAGAAACACCUCUUCAACCAAGCCACACUAGAGCAAAGGUAUCACAUAUCAUUGAAGGAAAAAAUUUGUCCUAGCUAAGAACAAGUAUGAACAUUUGAAUACACAUGCAAGCUAUUAACACUUUAAAGUAGGCAUGCAUUAAAAAACAAUUCAUAAAACCCAUGACUUUCAAAGCCUAGUAUAUGGUGAACCAAAAUAAACUCUUUAACAACAUUAAAGAGAAGUAAAGAUUUAGAGUUUCUUUACCCUUGAAGCUCAUCCUUGUUUACACAAGGGAUUCACCCAAGUGGAGGGCCUUCAAGUCACCUCCAAGCUCUUUGAAUCCUCCUUGUUUUUCCUCCCUUUAGUGCUCCUUUGAAGAUUUGAGGAAAAUAAGGAUUUUCUCCAAAACACCAAAAGCUUGAUGUCUCUAAGUCUCUUCACCAAGGAUGUAUCUUGUGAAGAUGAUAUGGUGAUUAGGAAGAGAGAUUGCUAGCUGUUUCCCCUUAGUGGCGCCUCUUAGGAAAAAUGAGAAAAAGUUUCACCAUUUCAACAAGAAAACCCUAAUGAAAAAUUGCUAUAAAGUUGCUUUUAACAUUUCUUUGGUGAGUGGCAAACUUUGUAAUUAAGCAACUCCAUUCACCCAAAUGGCCGCCUCUUUGUUAUUGGCUAAUUGCCCAUUUUGUUUUUGUUUCAUUACAACUUAACAUAAUGGGCCUUUUGGACCAAAACGCUUUUGGGCCCGAAACCCAAACCAACAUAAGCCCCAAUACGAACCUUCAUAAAUUAAUUAACUAAUUAAUUAAUCUUGACCAUUCUUCAAUUAAACCAUUUAAUUGUAUCCAUUUCAUAUAAUAUUUCCAUACAUCCUUAAUCGGUGUACGAUCCAUUAGUUCCAAUUAGCGAGUAGUGGGCGAUUGUUACUCUUAACUAUCGAUUAAAAUUGAAACCACAUUUCAAUUCUCCCUUUAUGAUUAGUGUACCUAAUCAUUUGGGCUUCACAAACCAUGAGUGACCCUAGCAGUAUGUCAUGGUUACCCAAGCUAAGAGAAUGGUUGGAAAACCUAUCAGUUACAUACAAUGCAAUACGGUCUUCUCUAAUACAACUCUUAAUCACAUUGUUUAAGUGAUAGUUUGUUUCAUUCUACUAUCCAAUGUGAUACUUCCUAUAUGAUUCCUGAAUAUGAUUUGGAACAAACUUCCUAAGUCAUUAUUUUUGCUUUGGCCAAAGACUUUAGAAUCAAUCUUAGAGUAUUCUCCCUCCCAUGGAGGUUAGAGAUCCUUGUUGUGCAUUCAUAUGCCACAUGACUAGAUAGCUUGACCCCAACAAUGCCGUGACACUCCAAAGAAUGCCUAACCAUUAAGACUCUAUGAUUGCCUCAGGUCAAAGGACUACUUUGCAUAUGCAAACGAGUUCAUACAUGACAAUGUAUGUUCGAAACUCUCUUUUGAUCGUGUCAUGUACUCGAGUACUCUUUCGGAGCACCUAUGUUUUGUCUUAGUGUCCAACACCAAAUGACUUGAGACUAGUUUACUCACGAUUGAGUCAACAUAACACUACUCCUUAACGGAUUGUCAAUGCCCAAUUAGCAAUCUAGGCUAGGAACGUUUUAGGAAUGAACAUAGAGAAAGGUCUCAUAAUCUAACUAUUAAUCACUUAUCUCUUAGAACAAUACAUUCCUUGGAUUCCUUAUUUUCUUAACACAUGAUACAAUAAAUAGUGAGAUUUGUUCCAUUAAACAUAUAAGUUUCAACAGAUAAGUAUUCCAAAGCUAUUACUCAAAUGAGUGGCUUUGUGGGCAUAUUCCAACAAUCCCACUUGCACUCAAAGCCACCUUCCCAUGUAUCUAAUACCCAUUUUCCAUAUGACGGUCAAGUGGUUUGACAUUGGCUUUGUCAGUGGUUCUGCUUGUUAUCGGCGAGUAACUUUGAGUAUGUUGACUUCCCUCCGGCAGCAUAUUUCUAAUGAUUUAAAGCGUGUUAAUGCCUCUUUUGAUGAGCCCUGGGUUCCUUGGCUUGAGCUAUCGCCCCACUAUUACAAGUACAAAGUUACUGGUGAUGUAAUGGUUGGACCACUCCAGUUCAGUAAUGAACUUCUUCAUCCAGACGCUUCUUUGCCGGCUUCAGAUGCAGCGACAUAUUCUGCCUCCGUCGUGGAAUAGAAUUACAUCUUGUUUCUUGCUUUUCCAGCUAACAGCCUCACCAUUUCAGAGGAAUACAUAUCUGGAGUUGGAACUUCUAUCAUCGACGUAGAUUGGAAUCUGCGUCUGUAUAGGCUUCACUCGCAACUCUUGCUCCUCCAUAAACGAGGAACUGUCCUUAGUUCUUCUUAAGUACUUAAGGACCGUUUGACAGCUGCCCAGUGUUCUGAUCUGGGGUGAUAUCGACUAGUAAUGCUCACAGCAUAUGCAAUAUCAGGCCUUGUGCAUAUCAUGGCAUAUAUGAGACUUCUAAAGGGAAGCAUAAGGAAUAGCACUCAUUGCCGUAUCUCUUCAGAGUCUUAGGUCCAUGGAUUUAAAAGGUGAAUUCCAUGUCUCACAAGAAGAAAACCUUUCUUAAUUGUUCCAUCUGGAACCUACUUAGCACCUUAUCUAUGUACAUAGAUUGGGAUAAUCCAAUUAAUUUUCUGGAUCUAUCACGAUAGAGCUUUUAUCAUAAGAUGCAUCUCCUAAAUCUUUUCAUGUGGAAGGUUUUGGACAACCACACUUUUAUAAAGAAAGUACUGCAGUGUCAUUCCCGAAUAGUAAUAUGUCAUCUACAUAUACACUAGGAAACAACUGCAUCCCAACGACUUUUGAUAAACACAAUUGUCUUCGUUUUGAGAAACCAAACGUUUUGAUUCAGUAUCGAAACGAAUGUUCAGCUCCUGGAGGCUUGCUUAAGUCAAAUGACCUUGAAGCUUGCAUACCUUAGUCUUUCCAGGACUUGGACACGAAACCUUCGGGUUGAUCAUAUAGAGCUCUUCCUCUAGGUAGCCGUUCAGAAAGGCCGUCUUCACGUCCAUUUGCCAUAUCAUAAUCAUGUACGCAGCUAUAGCAAGCAAAAUCCGAAUGGACUUAAUCAUGGCUACAGAAGAAAAGGUCUUCAUAGUCAAUCCCUUUCUUUUGCCUAUAACCCUUGGCUACUAGUCUAGCCUUAUAAGUCUCCACGUUCCAUCAACGCCUAUCUUCCUCUUGAAGACCAUUUGUUCCAACAGGUACAAUACCUUCUGGGAGGGUCUACAAGAGUCCAGACCUGUUUUGAUACAUGGAAUCCAUCUCGGAUUUCAUGGCCUCUUGCCAUCUCUUUGAAUCAAUGUCGGACAUUGCUAGUUAGUCUUAGGGUCUCCUUUGUGUCAUUGCACCUAGAAGGUACAAUUCCCAAAGUCAUUUCUAAGCCAUACCUCUUAGGUGGCUUGCUAACCCUUUCAGAUCUACGUGGAGCUAGGGUCAGAAACAGGUUGUCAAUAUGUCGAGUGCUUGUUUGUGGUUCAUCAUUAAUCUCAUUAAUUUCAUCUUUGCUUAUAGUCCUUGAGAACGAAUUCAUCCUCUGAACUUAAGCAGUUCUGCGACAAAAGACUUUCUGGUCGUCAGGAUGGUAGAACUCAUAUCCCAUAGUUUCUUUAGGAUAUCCCCACAAAAUAGGCAUCUUACUGAUCUCGCUUCAAGCUUUUAGUAGCU